rnacentral:rRNA from 1 species
AAUCAACGCUGGCGGCGUGCCUAACACAUGCAAGUCGAACGAGAAAGUGGAGCAAUCCAUGAGUAAAGUGGCGACCGGGUGAGUAACACGUGACUAACCUACCUCCGAGUGGGGAAUAACUCCGGGAAACCGGGGCUAAUACCGCAUAACAUCGCAAGAUCAAAGCAGCAAUGCGCUUGGAGAGGGGGUCGCGGCUGAUUAGCUAGUUGGCGGGGUAACGGCCCACCAAGGCGAAGAUCGGUAUCCGGCCUGAGAGGGCGCACGGACACACUGGAACUGAAACACGGUCCAGACUCCUACGGGAGGCAGCAGUGGGGAAUUUUGCGCAAUGGGGGAAACCCUGACGCAGCAACGCCGCGUGGAGGAUGAAGCCCUUUGGGGCGUAAACUCCUUUCGACUCGGACGAUAAUGACGGUACGAGUGGAAGAAGCACCGGCUAACUCUGUGCCAGCAGCCGCGGUAAUACAGAGGGUGCGAGCGUUGUUCGGAAUUAUUGGGCGUAAAGGGCGCGUAGGCGGUGCGGUAAGUCACCUGUGAAAUCUCCCGGCUCAACUGGGAGGGUGCGCGGAAAACUGGCGGGCUAGAGUGCGGGAUGGGAGAGUAGAAUUCCUGGUGUAGCGGUGAAAUGCGUAGAUAUCAGGAGGAAUACCGGUGGUGUAGACGGCUCUCUGGACCGUAACUGACGCUGAGACACGAAAGCGUGGGUAGCAAACAGGAUUAGAUACCCUGGUAGUCCACGCCCUAAACGAUGCAUAUUUGGUGUAGGUCAUUCAGUUGAUCUGUGCCGGAGCUAACGCGUUAAAUAUGCCGCCUGGGGAGUACAGUCGCAAGGCUGAAACUCAAAGGAAUUGACGGGGGCCCGCACAAGCGGUGGAGCAUGUGGUUCAAUUCGACGCAACGCGAAGAACCUUACCUGGGCUCGAACGGCUGGUUAACGAUCGUGGAAACACGGUUACUCCGCAAGGGGAUCCAGUCGAGGUGCUGCAUGGCUGUCGUCAGCUCGUGUCGUGAGAUGUUGGGUUAAGUCCCGCAACGAGCGCAACCCUUGUCCUGUGUUGCCAUGCCGAAAGGCGGAACUCGCAGGAGACCGCCAGCGAUAAGCUGGAGGAAGGUGGGGAUGACGUCAAGUCCUCAUGGCCUUUAUGUCCAGGGCUACACACGUGCUACAAUGGUCGGUACAAACCGUCGCAAACCCGCGAGGGGGAGCUAAUCGGAAAAAGCCGGCCUCAGUUCGGAUUGGAGUCUGCAACUCGACUCCAUGAAGCUGGAAUCGCUAGUAAUCGCAGAUCAGCACGCUGCGGUGAAUACGUUCCCGGGCCUUGUACACACCGCCCGUCACAUCACGAAAGUGGGUUGUACUAGAAGUCGCCACGCUAACCGCAAGGAGGCAGGCGCCCAAGGUAUGACUCAUGAUUGGGGUG